UCAUAUGCUGACAAGCGCCGAAAGGACCUAUAGUUUGAGGAUGUAAAGAAAAUUUUUCUGAAGGUUUCUCCAUCAAGAGGAAUCGUUAGAUUCGGUGUAAAGGGUAAACCUAAACCCCGUUUUAUAGGCUCAUACGAGAUUGUAGAAAGGAUAGACCCAAUAACUUACUGGUUGGCGUUAGCGCUAAGCUUUGAGAAUGUGCGUAAUGUAUCCCAUGUGUCGCAAAUAGAGAAGUAUGUUUACGAUUCAAAGCAUAUGAUCCAUAAGAACAACAUUAUUAUUAGUCAAUAUUUGAGUUACGAAGGAAGAUCCAAAUCUAUCUUAGAUCGGGAAGUUCAGGUACUAAGGACUAAGUCAAUACCGAUAGUAAGGGACCUAUGAAUAUAUCAUGGUCAAUAAUAGACUACCGUCUAACAGGAAAGUGAAGUACUCAGAGUUAUUUUCUGAGGUACAAAUUUCGGGACGAAAUUUAUGUUAAGGGGGAUAGUAUGUAAUGCCCCGACUUUUUAUUAAGGAUUAUAGACUUUUAAUUAUUGAUUUAAGGAUUUCUUAUGGUAAUUAGGGUUCAGCAUCCAUUAAUAAAAUACGGACUUAUGUGAAUUUGAUGAUUACAAACGUGAUAAUUUAUUUUUAUUUUUAUUUCAACGGAUGAUGCACUCAAAAUAUAUUUUGAGUCCAUUAAGAGAAUGAUGGAGCUCAAAGAUUUAUUUUGAGUUUUCAAAUCGAAAAAAAAAAAAAUUAUGUAUUUAUUUAUUUUUACCGAGAAAUUUAGGAAUGAUGAGUUAUAAAAAUUUUCCAUCAAUAUUUUUCUCAAAUUAUUUUCCUAUGAUGUAUUUAUAAAUUGAGAGAGUGCACUAAUGUUAGUGCUAUUUAUUCUAAUUUUGAUCACAAGAGUUUUAUGCUCUAGCAUUUUAUUAAUUGAUGAUUAGUCUUACAUAUAUUUUUUUUCUUACACAUGGGUUAUUACUACACCACAUUUUUAUAUUUACUUAAUGUAACACCCCAUUAUCCUCCACUAAUAUUUUCUUUUCCCUACCACUAAUCUUUUUCCCUACCAUCACUAAUAUUUUCUUUUCCCUACCACUACUCCUACCUCUCCACCACACUACUCCUUUUCCCCCACCACUACAUUCUUUCUCCCACUCUCACAACUUUUCUCCCACCAUUAUCACACUCCAUAGAAGCCUUUGAAGCCCCAAGAGAAGUAGCAAAGUAAGGGAGAGUGUGGGAAAACUAUAGAGUGAAGGUUGUGCUUCGAGGGUCCGGGCGACAGAAAGUGAAGCCGAAGAAGAAACGACUCCACGCCAGCUUUAAGAACAAUUGAGGUUGAGCAGGCGAUGGAAUGGAUCGGUGUUGAGCGGAUUUCCCUUUUGAUGUUUAUGUAAUGAAACCUUGAGUAUGCAUCUACAUAUGCAUAACUCACACGUUUUUUUCGCUGCAAACACUCUGACUUAUUUAUCAUUUCUACUUGAACUUAUUACUACUUCAUUUUAAUUAACUUUCAGUUUGGGUCUAGUCGUUAUGGCAGACUCAUUUGUGAAUUACCCAAGUGGUUAUAUAUAUAUACCACUAGUUUGUUAUUAAUGUUGGUUACUUAGUAAAUCCCCUUUAAUUUCCGUUUCUUAUUGUUCACCCCAAGUCAUAACCCCGGUUAACCCG